rfam:Actinomyces sp. S6-Spd3 contig280, whole genome shotgun sequence.
UCUAGCCCGUCAUUCCAGGUCUCCUCCCGAUGUUCUGACGUCACUUCCCCGAUGGCAGAGCACGGUGGGGGACCUGGAACGACGGGUACCCAUCA